GAAUCCAUCAAAGUGGCUUUGAGAUGCAGAUUAUCGUUUAAUGCAUAUCACAGUCAUCUUUGAUGGCUUCAA
rnacentral:pre_miRNA from 1 species